rnacentral:rRNA from 1 species
UACGUAGGGUGCAAGCGUUAAUCGGAAUUACUGGGCGUAAAGCGUGCGCAGGCGGUGAUGUAAGACAGUUGUGAAAUCCCCGGGCUCAACCUGGGAAUUGCGUUGGAGACUGCAAGGCUGGAGUCUGGCAGAGGGGGGUAGAAUUCCACGUGUAGCAGUGAAAUGCGUAGAGAUGUGGAGGAACACCGAUGGCGAAGGCAGCCCCCUGGGUCAAGACUGACGCUCAUGCACGAAAGCGUGGGGAGCAAACAGG